GAGUUUGAUCCUGGCUCAGGACGAGCGCUGGCGGCGUGCCUAAUACAUGCAAGUCGAGCGGAUCUUCAUUAGCUUGCUUUUGAAGAUCAGCGGCGGACGGGUGAGUAACACGUGGGCAACCUGCCUGUAAGACUGGGAUAACUUCGGGAAACCGGAGCUAAUACCGGAUGAUCCUUUUCCUCUCAUGAGGAAAAGCUGAAAGACGGUUUCGGCUGUCACUUACAGAUGGGCCCGCGGCGCAUUAGCUAGUUGGUGAGGUAACGGCUCACCAAGGCGACGAUGCGUAGCCGACCUGAGAGGGUGAUCGGCCACACUGGGACUGAGACACGGCCCAGACUCCUACGGGAGGCAGCAGUAGGGAAUCUUCCGCAAUGGACGAAAGUCUGACGGAGCAACGCCGCGUGAGCGAUGAAGGCCUGGUCGUAAGACUCUGUUGUC
rnacentral:rRNA from 1 species